UAGAUGCGAGAGUAGAGCAUAUCAAUAAGCGGGAGGAAAAGAAACUAACAAGGAUUCCCUUAGUAACGGCGAGUGAAGCGGGAAGAGCUCAAAUUUGAAAUCUUCAAGGUUCUACCUUGACGAAUUGUAGUUUAAAGAAGUGUUUUUCUGUUAGAUGAGUAGCAAAAAGUUCCUUGGAAUGGGACAUCAUAGAGGGUGAGAAUCCCGUAUUUGGUUAUUCAUUCUAGCUUUGUGAUACACUUUCAAAGAGUCGGAUUGUUUGGGAAUGCAGUCCAAAAUGGGUGGUAAAUUUCAUCUAAAGCUAAAUAUUGGCGAGAGACCGAUAGCGAACAAGUACCGUGAGGGAAAGAUGAAAAGAACCUUGAAAAGAGAGUUAAACAGUACGUGAAAUUGUCAAAAGGGAAGCGUUUGACACCAGUGUUGUUUUUUCCGAAAAUCAAUUACGAAUGGCUUGAUUUUGUGUUGUAUUGACCUUAUCAGCUUUCUGCACUUUUUUUCGAGUCUUUCUUAAUGCACUUUUCGGUUAACAAGUCAACAUCAAUUUCUUUUGUUGUAAAAGAGUAUUCGGAAGGUGGCUUUCUUUUCGGAGAAAGUGUUUAUAGCCCUAUACUUCUACAAUCGGAGAGAUUGAGGUCUGCAGCGUAGAUCCUUCGGGGUUAGAUACACUUGUGCUAAGUUGUAGCUUUUCAUAGACAACUUGUCGACUAUGUUUAGUCAUGCGGCUUACUCGCUUAUGCUAUUUUACCUACGCUUAGGAUGUUGAGCGCAUGUCUCUCUC
rnacentral:rRNA from 1 species